CCGAACAGGGAUAGAGAGGUAAUAGGC
rnacentral:piRNA from 1 species